rnacentral:rRNA from 1 species
AUUGAACGCUGGCGGCAGGCCUAACACAUGCAAGUCGAACGGUAACAGGAAACAGCUUGCUGUUUCGCUGACGAGUGGCGGACGGGUGAGUAAUGUCUGGGAAACUGCCUGAUGGAGGGGGAUAACUACUGGAAACGGUAGCUAAUACCGCAUAACGUCGCAAGACCAAAGAGGGGGACCCUCGGGCCUCUUGCCAUCGGAUGUGCCCAGAUGGGAUUAGCUUGUUGGUGGGGUAACGGCUCACCAAGGCGACGAUCCCUAGCUGGUCUGAGAGGAUGACCAGCCACACUGGAACUGAGACACGGUCCAGACUUCUACGGGAGGCAGCAGUGGGGAAUAUUGCACAAUGGGCGCAAGCCUGAUGCAGCCAUGCCGCGUGUAUGAAGAAGGCCUUCGGGUUGUAAAGUACUUUCAGCGGGGAGGAAGGGAGUAAAGUUAAUACCUUUGCUCAUUGACGUUACCCGCAGAAGAAGCACCGGCUAACUCCGUGCCAGCAGCCGCGGUAAUACGGAGGGUGCAAGCGUUAAUCGGAAUUACUGGGCGUAAAGCGCACGCAGGCGGUUUGUUAAGUCAGAUGUGAAAUCCCCGGGCUCAACCUGGGAACUGCAUCUGAUACUGGCAAGCUUGAGUCUCGUAGAGGGGGGUAGAAUUCCAGGUGUAGCGGUGAAAUGCGUAGAGAUCUGGAGGAAUACCGGUGGCGAAGGCGGCCCCCUGGACGAAGACUGACGCUCAGGUGCGAAAGCGUGGGGAGCAAACAGGAUUAGAUACCCUGGUAGUCCACGCCGUAAACGAUGUCGACUUGGAGGUUGUGCCCUUGAGGCGUGGCUUCCGGAGCUAACGCGUUAAGUCGACCGCCUGGGGAGUACGGCCGCAAGGUUAAAACUCAAAUGAAUUGACGGGGGCCCGCACAAGCGGUGGAGCAUGUGGUUUAAUUCGAUGCAACGCGAAGAACCUUACCUGGUCUUGACAUCCACGGAAGUUUUCAGAGAUGAGAAUGUGCCUUCGGGAACCGUGAGACAGGUGCUGCAUGGCUGUCGUCAGCUCGUGUUGUGAAAUGUUGGGUUAAGUCCCGCAACGAGCGCAACCCUUAUCCUUUGUUGCCAGCGGUCCGGCCGGGAACUCAAAGGAGACUGCCAGUGAUAAACUGGAGGAAGGUGGGGAUGACGUCAAGUCAUCAUGGCCCUUACGACCAGGGCUACACACGUGCUACAAUGGCGCAUACAAAGAGAAGCGACCUCGCGAGAGCAAGCGGACCUCAUAAAGUGCGUCGUAGUCCGGAUUGGAGUCUGCAACUCGACUCCAUGAAGUCGGAAUCGCUAGUAAUCGUGGAUCAGAAUGCCACGGUGAAUACGUUCCCGGGCCU